rnacentral:rRNA from 1 species
AUUGGACGCUGGCGGCAUGCCUUACACAUGCAAGUCGAACGGCAGCAUGAUCUAGCUUGCUAGAUUGAUGGCGAGUGGCGAACGGGUGAGUAAUACAUCGGAACGUGCCCUGUAGUGGGGGAUAACUAGUCGAAAGAUUAGCUAAUACCGCAUACGACCUGAGGGUGAAAGUGGGGGACCGCAAGGCCUCAUGCUAUAGGAGCGGCCGAUGUCUGAUUAGCUAGUUGGUGAGGUAAAGGCUCACCAAGGCGACGAUCAGUAGCUGGUCUGAGAGGACGAUCAGCCACACUGGGACUUAGACACGGCCCAGACUCCUACGGGAGGCAGCAGUGGGGAAUUUUGGACAAUGGGCGAAAGCCUGAUCCAGCAAUGCCGCGUGUGUGAAGAAGGCCUUCGGGUUGUAAAGCACUUUUGUCCGGAAAGAAAUGGCUCUGGUUAAUACCUGGGGUCGAUGACGGUACCGGAAGAAUAAGGACCGGCUAACUACGUG